UCCCCUUCUCACCCAUCCUUUCCCGUUUUUCCCUAUCCAUCCUCUCCCUUCCAUUCUUUCCCUUCCAUAAUCCUUUCCCUCUUCACGCAUCCCUUCCUCUCUCUCCCCAUCCCCUAUCUCGCUCACAUAACUCGGUCCAAUAUUGUUUGUUCAAAGCCGUGUCUGGCCGAUUCCCACGCGUGUUGUUUUUUCGUCAUCAUAAACCUUUUAAAUAGACUGCACAAACGAGUGUGUGUGUGUGUGUGUGUGUGUGUGUGUGUGUGUGUGUGUGUGUGUGACAGUGAACUUGGGAAGGGCACUGUUUAGCCUGGCAGUGUGUCCAACGCGGAAGUCUGUGUGUGUGUGUGUGUGUACUUGCAGCCGACUCAGCGCUUAUAGACACUCUCACCCCCACCCUUUGUCUGUCUGUGUGUGUGUGUGUGUGGUCAGUCCGCUGUCGCAAAGCUCAGCAUCUCGAAUCAUCACAACACUAAGCUGCUGCUGUCGGGGAGGAGGUGCAGAGGAAGAAGCAAGGGUGAGAGGUGGAGGGGGGACAGGAGAUGAAGGACAGGGAUGGUGUCUAUUCUUGAUAUGAUUUUUUUCUUUCUUUCUUCUUCAUUUUCUUUUUUUUCUUCUUAUUCUUAUUUAUAUUCUUAUUCAUAUUCUUCUUAUUAUUAUCAUCUUGUUUUCCCUCUGUCUUGUGUUUGAGGGUAAAAAACAGAAAUGGAAAAGAAAGGACGAAAAAAUAAGAAUAAGAUACUCAAAGAGGAAAUAAAAACAAAUACACAAUCGUCGGCAGCAGUGGUUCUGAUAUUUUUUUCUUGGCAUGAGGGUAAAAAGAGAAUAGUGAAAAUGAAAUGAGGCAUUACUAUAAAGAAGAGAGAGAUUUAUUUUUCUAUAGAGAGAGAGUGUGUGUGUUGGGAUGACCUUUCUAAUCUAAUAAUAUGGCGUUGUUGUUGUUUUUUUGUAAGAACCGAGGCGCAUAUUUGACGGCUGUGAAAAUAAAGGCAAAUCAACAGUUAAAUUUAUUGAUAUAGUAAUGUUUACGUAAGGUGUCGGCAUUAGUGAAAGGCAAAGCUGAGAAGAAUGAAAAGUAAAAAUGAAUUACAGCUACUUAUCUGUUUUAAGACGUAAAAUGAAAGUAAGGAAAACUUGAAAAAAGGUCAUGUCUCUGUUGUGUCUGUUCCUGAGUCUUUACAGGUUACCUACUGUUUAGUCCGCUGGUUGGUGAAGCGUCCCGGCCAGCCCAAAGCCCAAAGCCCAAAAACAAUAGUGGUGGUGGGCUGGGGGGUUUGUAGUAAUUAAAAAGUGUCCGCAGCAGUGAAAGGAAACAAGCAAGUAAAAUAAACAGAUAGGCAAAUAAAAAUGAUAGAAAGAAAAACAAGAAAAAGCCUUGAAGACGGUUAAAUUAUCGCCAUAUAUUUUUACUACGUGCUCAAACACUUGCCAAGAAAAAUAAAUAAAAUAGGUCGUCUCCAUAAGGUCAUAUUUGUAUAUACUAGAAUUCGUCCCCAAAAUAAUCCACAGAAAACUGAUUUCUGUAACUGUUCUUUAUUAUGACAAUGUAUUUACACACACACAAAAAAACUAAAAACAGCUUGAAAAAAAAAAUCUCCAUACGGCCUUUACAUAAUUAUAUCCUUUAGCACAGGAAAAAAUACACACAAACAGAAUCAUAUAAAUACUCUUAAAAUUAUGUCAACCUGCGAUUCAUUCAUUCCCAGAACUCCGUCAUAACGAUUACACGAGAGAGAGAGAGAGAGAGAGAGAGAGAGAGAGAGAGAGAGAGAGAGAGGAAAAAUAGUUAAGCUCCAUAUGGUCUUUUCAAAGCAUUCACGUAAAGAAAAACACGAAGAAAGAAUACUAAUAGGAUAAUCUUGUUAUGCUCGUCAAUGUUAAGAAGGUCUUUGUGCGGGGCUUCAAACACCGAAAAAAUAUCAACAGGAAAAAAAAGGAAAGAAAAACGCGAGUAAAUACGAAUGCAAGUAAAUGAGAUUCACGAACCAGAACGAAUAAGCACAAGAAAAAGAAGAAAAUAAUAAUAAAGUAAAGAUCUUUGUGCGAGGCUCCAAAAUCCAAGAAAAGAGGAAAACAGAAAAAGAAAGAAAAAUACGAGUGAAUACAAAUACAAGUAAAUAAAAAUCACAAACGAGAACGAAUAAACACAAGAAAAAGAAGAAAAUAAUAAUAAUGUAAAGAUCUUUGUGCGAGGCUCCAAAAUCCAAGAAAAGAGGAAAACAGAAAAAGAAAGAAAAAUACGAGUGAAUACAAAUACAAGUAAAUAAAAAUCACAAACGAGAACGAAUAAACACAAGAAAAAGAAGAAAAUAAUAAUAAUGUAAAGAUCUUUGUGCGCGGCUCCAAACAUCCAGGAAAUUAAAAGACAAGAGGAAGACAGAGAAAGAAAGAAAAAUACGAGUGAAUAAAAAUACAAGUAAAUAAAAAUCGCAAACAAGAAGGAAAUGAACUUUUAGAAUAAUUUAAAUAAAAUGAGUGGAAAUGGCAUUGAGCAGCUCGGAAGGAAACACAGAAAGAGAGAAUAUAUAAACAGCCAUGCAAGUUUAUUCCUUUGCCUGGAAACAUUAAUAAUAACAUGGACGAUGAGAUAAAUUUAAAUAGAAAGGGUGGAUUGAGCAGCUUGGACGGAAACUCAGAAAGAAAGAAUAUAUAAUAGUUAUGCAAGUUAAGUUUCUUUGCCUCGAAACAUUAAGAACAACAUGAACGGUGAGAAAAAAUAAAAUAGAAGGGGUGAGUAUAGCAUUGAGCAGCGGAAGGAAACCCAUAAAGGAAGAAUAUAUAAAUAGCCUUGAUGCAAGUUAAGUUCCUUUGCUACGAACCAACAACUAAUAACAUAAACGGUGGAAAAAAAACAAGUAGAAGGGGUGAAUAUAGUGUCAGCGUUGGGUAGUUCGGUAGGAAACCCAGUAAAAAAGAAUAUAUGAAUAGCCAUGCAAGUUGACGAAGAAAAGGUGAAUCCUAGCAAAUUUUAAAUGUUGGAUAAGAAAACACAGAGAGAGAGAGAGAGAGAGAGAGAGAGAGAGAGAGCACCCAUAUAGAUUUCGUUGUUCUAACCCUAAUAAUUAAACGUCCCAAAGCAGUAAAGAGAAAACCAGGCGUGAAUAACAUCAGUGGCUGCCUCAGAAGAAAUAACAAAGAAAGGAAAAAAAGAAAAUAAAUAUCUCAGAUUUAGGUUAGGGAUGGAGGAAGUUUUGAAAGGUGGGUGAGAGAAGGAUAGCUAAAAGAGGAAGGAAGUUCAGAAAAAUGAGAGAGAAGAAGGAUAAGUGAGGGAGGAAGGAAGUUUGGAAAGAUAGGAGAGAGAAGAAGGAUAGGUGAGGGAGGAAGGAAGUUUGGAAAGAUAGGAGAGAGAAGAAGGAUAGGUGAGGGAGGAAGGAAGUUUGGAAAGAUAGGAGAGAGAAGAAGGAUAGGUGAGGGAGGAAGGAAGUUUGGAAAGAUAGGAGAAAGAAGAAGGGUAGGUGAGGGAGGAAGGAAAUUUGGAAAGGUAGGUGAGAGAAGGGUAGGUGAGGGAGGAAGGAAGUUUGGAAAGGUAGGAAAGAGAUAUAAAAAAAACUAUAAAAAAACAAUAAAACGUGAAUAAAAACAACCUCGGGGCCUCAAAUGCAAGAUUACUAAAAAAAAAGAAAAAAAAGAUCUAAAUAUAACAAAUUUUACAUGGCUCAAACACACAAAGCAUCCAAUAUGAGGACAAAUAAUGGAAAAAGUAAUAAAAACAGAAUCGUUCAAGACAGCUGGCGACGUCUGACAGCGCUGCACACAAAAGCCUCGGCAAGAUUCGUGAGAUCGUAAGACUUCGUGACGACUCCAAAGUUUACGGUCGUUGUCGCACGUAAAAAUAAACCGAUUCCUUAAAUUUAGAUGACUGA